AUUACAGGUGUGAGCCACCGCACCCGGCCGGCCUUGUACUUUUGAGGCGGUGUUGACUCUUGCAAUCCAUAGCUUUGAGAGCUCCCCAUUUGAAUCUCAGGCACAUUUGACUUUUUCACUCUCGUAGGAGUGCUCUCCUUAGUCCAUUGAUCAAACUGCUGAGAGCAGUCCAUGGCCUGCCUGCUGUCACGGCCCGUGAAGCAGAAUUGGAGAUGAGAGUGGGGGGACCCGGGCUGGAGCAUGGGCAGGAGGAGAUCCUGCAAACAGGGAACUGAGAGAGGGGAGGGAGGAGGAGGAGGGUUUGAGAGUGGGGAGGGGAGCUGGGGGUGCUUUGGUAAAAGCACCUGAAGACCGGGAGGAGAGGAAGGAGGGGAGCUGCAGGUUACAAACGGGGUAGCAGGUUAUGAAUGGGGCACUCCGGAGUUCUGAGAACUGGGCACAGGGGCACCAGGCCCUAAGUGAGUUCUGCUCCGGGGUGGCCGGGCCCAUCCCGAGAGCACUGACGUCCAACAGGAGUGUCGCUGCCCACCGCCUCCCACAAGAGGACACUGAUUUGCCAGAGAAGGGCAGAGUGGGAGAUGACUUUUUCUCAGCAUCUUGCCUCGUUUUCCUCUACCCAGAAGUUUGUUUUUAAGGAAGUUUAAGCUUGUUGCAUUGGAAAAGCAAAAAAUAACAUUUUGUAAAAUAAAUAUUUGUUUUGUUCAGACUUAGGCCUUCCCACAUAUUGGUUUUUCUUGAAGAGGAGACACAACCACACCAGGGGUGAGGAGAAGAGAGACGCAGUCACUCAUUCAUUCAGGAAUGAUCUUUGAGUUGAAACUGCAGUCUCCUCUUGGCCAAAGGGAGGGUGCUGACCACCUUCACCUGGAGGCCGCCCACCACCUUCACCUGGAGGCCACCCUUGCUCUUUCAGGAUCCUCUUUUCAUGGGUUUCUGCAGAGCCACUGGGUGAGAGCAUGUAUGUGGGCCAUGAGGACUUUUCCUUUGCACCCCAACACAUCUCUACCCGUCCUCCCUGCACCCCCAACCCGAAGACGGGCGUGUGAUCCUGUGGGUGGGCACGUGGUCCGUGUGUAUAAUUUUGUCCGGAGCAGUAAUUCUCGGAGUGGACCCUGGACCCGCAGUGUAAGCAUUGCCUGGUGCUGUGGUUUGGACGUGUGUCCCCUCCACAUCUCAUGUUGAAAUGUAUCCCCAGUGUUGGAGUGAGGCCUAUGGGCAGGGGUUUGGGUCAAGGGUCAGAUCCCUCAGGAAUGGCUUCCUGCUGACCCCACUUGCCAGUCAUGAGCGGGCCCUUGCUUGAUUAGUGCCCGCAUGAGCCAGGGGUUAAAAGAGCAUGGCCCCUCCCUCCCUUUGGCUUCCUCUCCUGCUGUGCCCUCUGCACACAUGGCUCCCCUUCACCCUCUACCCUAAGUGGGAGCAGCCUGAGGCCCCACCAGAAGCAGAUUCUGUUGCCAGGCUUCUUGUACAGCCUGCAGAACUGUGAGCCAAAGAAAUAACUUUCUUUAGAAAUUGCCUGGCCCCAGGUGUCCCUUGAUAGCCACACCAAUGGACACCUGUGAACUUGCUAUAAAUUCAGAUUCUCAGGCCCCACCCAGACCUGCUGAGUCAGAAACUCCGGCAGGGGCCCAGAAGUCUGUCUUUUACCAGGAACCUCUGUGAUUCCCAUACAGAGUUUGAGAACCUCUGGUCUCUGGAACUGUAUGCUUUAAAUGGGUGCAUUUUAUAUAUGUGGAUUAUAUCUUUAAAAAGGUAUCAAAAGACAAAAAGAUAAUUGACUACCUGGAGCAAAGAUGGGAAAAGUGUACUGUGGGGUUUGUAACAUGCAGAAGCAAAUCUGUGGUAACAACAGUACCAAGGAUGGGAGGGAGGAAGUACAGACGCUGCUGUCAGGUUACUUACUACAUGUAUGUGAAGUAGGAGAAUAUUGUGUAAUGGCAGACUGAGAAGCUAAAGCUGUAAUUUUAUCAUAAGCCCUACUGCAACCAUGAAUAGCUACACUAAGAGGUAUAACAAAUAAGGCAAUAGUGAAGAUAAAAUGAAAUAAUAAAAAAUACUCAGC
rnacentral:lncRNA from 1 species